GACUGUUUGGAUUGUAACUCCUAGUGUGCCUGUUGUUGAUUAAUUAAUAAACAAAUAAAUCGUUAUAUUUAGCCUGAUAUCUCACUACAAGACCAUAAAAGAGAAAAUGUUAAAAAAGAAUUUUGUGUGCCUCGCCAUAAGGGAGGGUUACUCAGAGACACAAGAAACGAGUACUAGAAGUGGCAUCCAAAUGGCUCAGAGUAGGUAUGUGUAUACAUUUUUAAAAGAUGAGUAGCAUUAUGAAUAUGCUCUCUUCGCCUCCUCCUUUCCUCCUCUUUCUCCCAUCAGGUGCCUUGUCCUUGUUCUCCCCUCUCAUUUGCUGAUGGCUGAUAACACCUUAUCUCCACCAGGGAAGCAACCGGGAAGUUUGCUCCUUCCUCACAAGACUGAGGGUAUAAUUAGAACAACGCACCUGCUCAGUCCUCCGGUGACUCAGUUAGUCUACAUCCAUGUCAAAAUCCAUGCUGUGAGGGGAUACUUACAGGCUUCAACUGAGAUCAGGGUCUUGUUGUAUGAGACAAUACAGAAACAUGCAAUAAAAGAAUUCUAGUCCCAGGAGCCUUGUAAGCUAAAUAAAGGCUGGGAGAAAGGAAAUAUUACCCCCAUUUUACAGAUGGGAAACCGAAGCUCUGACAAUCUUUCCAUACAACGCAGUGCAGUGUCAUACAGCAAUACUGAAGAGAGAGUUCUGAAAAAGCAACAAAGUCCAGAAUCUGUGCAAAAUAAAGGCUGACUUAAACCCCGUUGUACUGGCAAGCAGCCAUAGCCUGGAAUCUCCUGCGUUAGAAUACUUUUCCUCAUUUAAUUUGCUCCUCCCAGAAGACCCUGUAAAAUCCUGCUCAGGAGCCGACAGAGGGUAUUCACUCAAGACCAAGCGGCAGAGAAGCACUUUGGUAUUCCCUGAAGACAUAGCAGAAACAAGUG